rnacentral:rRNA from 1 species
CAUGCAAGUCGAGCGGUAAGGCCCUUCGGGGUACACGAGCGGCGAACGGGUGAGUAACACGUGGGUGAUCUGCCCUGUACUUCGGGAUAAGCCUGGGAAACUGGGUCUAAUACCGGAUAUGACCUUACAUCGCAUGGUGUUUGGUGGAAAGAUUUAUCGGUACAGGAUGGGCCCGCGGCCUAUCAGCUUGUUGGUGGGGUAAUGGCCUACCAAGGCGACGACGGGUAGCCGGCCUGAGAGGGCGACCGGCCACACUGGGACUGAGACACGGCCCAGACUCCUACGGGAGGCAGCAGUGGGGAAUAUUGCACAAUGGGCGAAAGCCUGAUGCAGCGACGCCGCGUGAGGGAUGACGGCCUUCGGGUUGUAAACCUCUUUCGACAGGGACGAAGCGCAAGUGACGGUACCUGUAGAAGAAGCACCGGCCAACUACGUGCCAGCAGCCGCGGUAAUACGUAGGGUGCGAGCGUUGUCCGGAAUUACUGGGCGUAAAGAGCUUGUAGGCGGUUUGUCGCGUCGUCCGUGAAAACUUGGGGCUCAACCCCAAGCUUGCGGGCGAUACGGGCAGACUUGAGUACUGCAGGGGAGACUGGAAUUCCUGGUGUAGCGGUGAAAUGCGC